rnacentral:rRNA from 1 species
AACGUAGGACACGAGCGUUAUCCGGAGUUACUGGGCGUAAAGGGCGUUUAGGCGGGUGACUAAGUUCGCUAUGAAAGCGCCAGGCUAAACCUGGCGAGGCUGGCGGAUACUGGUCAUCUGGAGUAAGAGAGAGGGAGGUAGAAUUCCGCGUGUAGUGGUGAAAUGCGUAGAGAUGCGGAGGAAUACCAGUGGCGAAGGCGGCCUCCUGGCUCUUAACUGACGCUGAAGCGCGAAAGCAUGGGGAGCGAACGGG